rnacentral:lncRNA from 1 species
ACUCAAACAACAAACAAUGAGGUUCAGAAAAGGACAGAAGACCAUUGAGUUGUAAGAAAACUCCAUGUGGGAUUGUAGAAGAAGAUUAUUCUUAUUCCUGGAUUAGACUUGCCAUCAGGAUUGACAUAGCAGUUUUGUGAUGUUCUGAGUUUGAUUCAUGGAAAGGUCACCAGAGGUUGUUACGAAUGGCUGAAGAACAUUGCUGACAUCCAAACACUCGUGUGCUCUGAUGUCAGAGAAUGAAAAG